UACGUAGGGUGCGAGCGUUGUCCGGAAUUAUUGGGCGUAAAGAGCUCGUAGGCGGUGUGUCGCGUCGGCCGUGAAAACUUGGGGCUUAACUCUGAGCGUGCGGUCGAUACGGGCAUCACUUGAGUUCGGCAGGGGAGACUGGAAUUCCUGGUGUAGCGGUGAAAUGCGCAGAUAUCAGGAGGAACACCGGUGGCGAAGGCGGGUCUCUGGGCCGAUACUGACGCUGAGGAGCGAAAGCGUGGGGGAGCGAACAGG
rnacentral:rRNA from 1 species